CAUGUGUGACGCUAGUCACUAAAGGCUCGUACGUCAGAUGACCCGUGCAUAGCCAUGUGUAGUACGCUACAACGCACGAUCGUAGCGACUGGAGGGUAUCCGCACCUGACUUAGAACGGCCAGACUCUACCGGAGGCAGCAGUAGGAUCUCCGCAAAUGACGAAAGUCUCGACGGAGGAAACGCCGCGUGAGUGAAUGAAAGUUUCCGAACCGGUAAGCUCUGUGGGUAAGGGAGAGACACAGUACCGUUCGAAAUAGGGCCGUACCUUACGCGUACCUAACCCCAAAAAGCACCGCGCUAAUACGUGCCAGAGGGCGCGGGUAUAUCGUAAGGUGGCCAAACGUGUCUCGGAGAUAUUUGGGCGUAAAGGGCUCGCAGGGGGGUUUCUCAAAUCUGAUGUGUAAAGCCCCCGGGUCAACCCGGGAGGGGCAUUGGAAACCGGGGGACCCUAGUGCAGAAGAAGAAAAGUGGAAAUUCCCGUGUAGCGGUGAAAAGCGCAGAGGAUGUGGGGGGAACACCAGUGGGGAAAGGGGACUCUCUGGGCUGUAACUGACGCUGAGGGGGCGAAAACGUGGGGAGCGCAAAACGGUUAAGAUACCCUGGUUGUCCCGCCCUAAACGAUGAGUGCUAAGUGUUUGGGGGGUUUCCCCCCCUAGUGCCGGCACUAACGCAUUAAGCACUCCCCCCGGGGAGUACGGUCGCAAGACUGAAAAUCAAAAGAAUUGACGGGGGGCCGCACAAGCGGUGGAGCAUGUGGUUUAAUUCGAAGCAACGCGAAGAACCUUACCAGGUCUUGACCUCCUCUGGCAAUCCUAGAGAUAGGGCGUUCCUUCGGGGGCAGAGUGACAGGUGGUGCAUGGUUGUCGUCAGCUCGUGUCGUGAGAUGUUGGGUUAAGUCCCGCAACGAGCGCAACCCUUGAUCUUAGUUGCCAGCAUUCAGUUGGGCACUCUAAGGUGACUGCCGGUGACAAACCGGAGGAAGGUGGGGAUGACGUCAAAUCAUCAUGCCCCUUAUGACCUGGGCUACACACGUGCUACAAUGGACAGAACAAAGGGCAGCGAAACCGCGAGGUUAAGCCAAUCCCACAAAUCUGUUCUCAGUUCGGAUCGCAGUCUGCAACUCGAAUGCGUGAAGCUGGAAUCGCUAGUAAUCCGGAUCACAUGCCGCCGAGCUCCC
rnacentral:rRNA from 1 species